GGGAAUUUUCCGCAAUGGGCGAAAGCCUGACGGAGCAAUGCCGCGUGGAGGUGGAAGGCCUACGGGUCGUCAACUUCUUUUCUCGGAGAAGAAACAAUGACGGUAUCUGAGGAAUAAGCAUCGGCUAACUCUGUGCCAA
rnacentral:rRNA from 1 species